rnacentral:rRNA from 1 species
UACAGAGGGUGCGAGCGUUAAUCGGAAUUACUGGGCGUAAAGCGCGCGUAGGCGGCUUUGCAAGUCGGGUGUGAAAUCCCCAGGCUUAACCUGGGAACUGCAUUCGAGACUGCAUAGCUAGAGUAUGGGAGAGGGAAGUGGAAUUUCAGGUGUAGCGGUGAAAUGCGUAGAUAUCUGAAGGAACAUCAGUGGCGAAAGCGACUUCCUGGACCAAUACUGACGCUCAUGUGCGAAAGCGUGGGGAGCAAACAGG